AGUUGAUUUCCCUGAGAUUGAGGUUUAAGUAACCCCCCCCCCUCUCUUCCUCUCCUUCUUAUAGGAGUUUUCUUCCCCUCCCCUUCCCAUGUGAAUCUUUGUGUGAGAAUGAUUAUUCUAUUUGGUCUUUCUUUACCCCCUAUUUAUACAUUACAUUUCCCCCACAUAUUAGUAUACAUAGAUUGAUAUAAAUGUAGUCCUUAUAGAAGAGAGUUUGAGUAAAAGAAGAAGAUAACAUUUUUCCCCUUUCCUUAAUAUUUACCUUUUCAGGUAUUUCUUGCUCUUUGAUUUUCAGUAUCAAACUUUCCACAGAGCUCUGGUCUUUUCUUUGCAAAAAGUUGGAAGUCUUCUAUUUUGUUGAAUGCCCAUACUUUCCCUUGGAAGUAUAUAGUCAGUUUUGCUGGGUAGCUGAUUCUUGGUUGGAGACCCAGCUCUCUUGCCUUUCUGAAGACCAUGUUCCGUGCCUUACGGUCAUUCAGAGUAGAACUUGCAAGGUCUUGUGUGACCCUGAUUGGCAUUCCUUUAUAUCUAAAUUGUCUUUUUCUGGCUUCCUGUAGGAUUUUUUCUUUUGUUUGAUAGCUUUGGAAUUUGGCAAUUACAUUCCUGGGAGUUGUCUUUUGGGGGUUUAAUGUAGAAGGUGUUCUGUGAGCUCUGUCAGUGGCUGUAUUGCCCCCUUGUUCUAGAAUCUCUGGGCAAUUUUCUUUGAUUAUAUCUUGUAUCACCAUGUCCAGUUUGGUGUUUAUUUCUGGCUUUUCUGGGAGUCCAAUUAUUCUUAAAUUAUCCCUUCUCCCUCUAUUUUCCAGAUCUAUCACCUUGUUGGUGAGAUAUUUUAUGUUCUCUUCUAAUUUCUUGGUAUUUUGGCUUUGCUUUAUUAAUUCUUGCUCUUUUACACGAUCGUUGUCUUCCAGAUCUGUCAUCUUGUCGGUGAGAUAUUUUAUGUUCUCUUCUAAUUUCUUGGUAUUUUGGCUUUGCUUUAUUAAUUCUUGCUCUUUUACACGAUCGUUGUCUUCCAGCUGCCUGAUUCUGGCCUUUAAAGCCUGGUUUUCCUUUUCAGUUUCAUCACACCGGUUUUGUAGAUGCAUGAAUUUCUUUUGCAUUAUUUCCAACUUUUCCUCCCAGAAGGCUUCCAUCUUUUUGGUCAUUUCUGAUUCAAAUUCUUCAUGGGUUUGUGGAGAGUUUCCAUUUCCUUUGGAAGGUUUUGGAGCAUUUUCUUGUAUAUCAUAUUCUAUCUGCUCUGUAUUUUGUAUUUUGGCUCCAUAGAAUGUGUCCAAAGUCGCCCCUUUCUUCUUAUUUUUCUUGGUAUUUUGGGGCUUCUGUGCUUCUGUGGAGUUUGCCAUCUCUGAAUGUGGAGGAUUAGUUUUUCUUAUCUCUUUCUGGUGUUCAGAGGCUUUAGUCCUGGGCAGAUUGUCGGUUCUAUGAGGUUUCCCUGGGUUAAAUUGAGUAUGCCUCACUGGAACUGGAAUGGAAGGGUCAGACCAGGAGGCCACACUCUCCCCCGGCUCUCUGGGUUGGGUUGCUUUCCGGAAGUUGCCUUCAGAAUAGCUGGCCGUGAGGCUGUUUCGUCGGCCUGCGGGGGGGAUGGGCUGUGGCUUCCCGGAGCUCCGAGGGCAGGGACUUUCACUGAGACUUGGAUAGCAGGAUCCAGCCCGUGAGGCUGUCUUGCCCGCCCUGAGGGUUGCUGUUGUUUUGACCCUGCUCUCUGCGGGGGGAGCUCCGAGCGGGGCGGGGCUGCGGCUUCCCGGAGCCUUGGACUCUGCGCUCCUACCCCUUAGGUCCGAGUGAUCUCGGGUUCUGGCUUUUGAGGGGGGCCGUACCUUUUGAUCCGGGUCCAGGUCCAGGAGGAGGGUUCCCAGGGUCUAUGCUGUUGAUUGUCUUGAAUUUCGGCGCCUUAGGAGCUUAUAGUUUGAGAUCGGUCGGGAAGGGUUUUCCGGAGAUCUGAACUUUAGCUUUCUCUAAGCCGCCAUCUUGACCGGAAGUCCAGAUCUUCUAACAUGGAGACACCCUGUAACCUGCCUUUUCCUACC
ensembl:lncRNA